AAAGCUGCGAUGAUGGAAAGCAGUAGCCGCAGGCAGACGCGAAGAGAGAGGACGGAAGGUGCAAGUCCCCGGUAGGUCCGCGGUGAAGUCGUUUCGGAGCAUUGGCCUGAAAGCGAGUAAGCGCCAACGGGACCUCCCGUUACAGAGGAGCGGCGUAGCUGCGCCGCGUGAGCGCGGGAAUUUCCCGAAUCCAGGUGGUACCACGGACUUUUUGUUCGCCCUGAGC
rnacentral:ncRNA from 1 species